rnacentral:misc_RNA from 1 species
UACGUAGGUGGCAAGCGUUGUCCGGAAUUAUUGGGCGUAAAGCGCGCGCAGGCGGCCUCUUAAGUCUGAUGUGAAAUCUCGCGGCUCAACCGCGAAAGGUCAUUGGAAACUGGGAGACUUGAGUGCAGAAGAGGAGAGUGGAAUUCCACGUGUAGCGGUGAAAUGCGUAGAUAUGUGGAGGAACCCCAGUGGCGAAGGCGACUCUCUGGUCUGUAACUGACGCUGAGGCGCGAAAGCGUGGGGAGCAAACAGG